GAAGGACUUUCAUCAGACAAAAGGAUUAGCCUGUUUUCUGCUGUAAAGCAGGUGGCUGCCAGCUGAAUUUGUUUUAUUUACAGUUGUCAUACAUCAAAAUGAGAAAGAAGCAGUUUUGCCACUGGCUUUUGUUGAAAUUUUCUUCUUUGAAAAAAAUAUAACUAACCAUCUCAAGGCCACUGUAGAAUUAGCUCUGCAGAUAUACCAGGCUGAAACUGCACCUCUGUGAGCCCAAAAGUAAGACCUUUGAAACUAGGUAUCUGAAUUUGGAAUCCAAGGCACAACUGAAG
rnacentral:lncRNA from 1 species